rnacentral:lncRNA from 1 species
AUUCUAGAGUUUCCGCACAUGCAUUUGCCUCCCAUCUAAACGGAUAUUCAGGAAAGGGAAAGAUUGUCAAUUUCUUCCGAUUUUCAGUUGGAUAAUAUUAUUUUUAUUUUACCCUUCUUCAGUUAUUACUUUUUUUUUUUAAUUUUUUAAUCUUUAUGGAUCCACCGAUCUAAUUGUGGUCUGUAAUUGGACCGACCCAAGUGUAUUGUUUAUUGUAAUUUUGUUUUCCUUUUUUUUUUUUCGUAAUAGUAAAAGAUGAAAUAAUGGAAUAAAAUAUUGAGAUAUGACAAUGUUUGUUGUCUAGGUGGAGAUGAUUAGGCGGACUGACACACGUAAGGAGAGCCAAAAUUAUUGAGAAGCAGACAAACGCGCCCCACAAAAGUCCCCCCCCCAUACCAGGUGGUAGGACCAAUCAUCUCCUCUCGCGUGGACAUUGAGUUCUAGCCCUCGUCAUUAGCGUUUACGUUUUCAUUUUUAAAUUCUUUUUAAUAGAGAAUAAUCAACCUCGGAUUUAUUAAGAAUAAGC